GCGAGUCGAGAGGGUUCGGCCCUCGGCAGACUGCUCAGUAACACGUGGAGAACUUGCCCUACGCUGGAGAAUACCCUCGGGAAACUGAGAAUAAUGCUCCAUAGCGCCUCCGUCCUGGAACGGUGGAGGCGUGAAAGCUCCGGCGGCGUAGGAUAGCUCUGCGGCCUAUCAGGUUGUAGCGAGGGUAACGUCCUCGCUAGCCUUCGACGGGUAUGGGUGUUGGGAGACAUCGCCCAGAGAUGGAUUCUGAGACACGAAUCCAGGCCCUACGGGGCGCAGCAGGCGCGAAAACUGCACAAUGUGGGAAACCACGAUGCGGGAAACCCAAGUGCCAGCACUAUGUGUUGGCUGUCCUCCAGUGUUCGUAACUGGGGAAGAAAGUGCUGGGUAAGACGGGUGCCAGCCGCCGCGGUAAUACCCGCAGCACUAGUGGUGGUCAUUAUUAUUGGGCCUAAAGCGUCCGUAGCUGGCCUGUUAGAUGCCUGGGUAAAUCGAUGCGCUCAACGUAUCGAAUUCCGGGUAGACCGGCAGGCUCGGGACCGGGAGAGGCGUGAGCUACUCGAGGGGUAGGGGUAAAAUCCUGUAAUCCUUCGGGGAGGA
rnacentral:rRNA from 1 species